rnacentral:rRNA from 1 species
AGGGAAUCUUCCACAAUGGACGCAAGUCUGAUGGAGCAACGCCGCGUGAGUGAAGAAGGUUUUCGGACCGUAAAGCUCUGUUGUUGGUGAAGAAGGAUAGAGGUAGUAACUGGCCUUUAUUUGACGGUAAUCAACCAGAAAGUCACGGCUAACUACGUGCCAGCAGCCGCGGUAAUACGUAGGUGGCAAGCGUUGUCCGGAUUUAUUGGGCGUAAAGCGAGCGCAGGCGGAAGAAUAAGUCUGAUGUGAAAGCCCUCGGCUUAACCGAGGAAUUGCAUCGGAAACUGUUUUCUUGAGUGCAGAAGAGGAGAGUAGAACUCCAUGUGUAGCGGUGGAAUGCGUAGAUAUAUGGAAGAAUACCAGUGGCGAAGGCGGCUCUCUGGUCUGCAACUGACGCUGAGGCUCGAAAGCAUGGGUAGCGAACAGGAUUAGAUACCCUGGUAGUCCAUGCCGUAAACGAUGAGUGCUAAGUGUUGGGAGGCUUCCGCCUCUCAGUGCUGCAGCUAACGCAUUAAGCACUCCGCCUGGGGAGUACACCGCAAGGUUGAAAC